AGCUCCAAUAGCGUAUACUAAAGUUGUUGCGGUUAAAAAGCUCGUAGUUGGAUCUUGGAAUGUGUUCAAGCGGGUCAGCUUCUGGCUGUGCGCUGCUUGACGUGUUCUUCUAUUUGGUUUUGGUGCGGUGCGCUUAACUGCGUGUCGCUCCCGGCCGAAACGUUUACCUUGAAAAAAUUAGAGUGUUCAAAGCAGACCUGUUUGAGUCUGAAUAUUCGUGCAUGGAAUAAUGAAAUAUGAAUUCGGUUCUAUUUUGUUGGUUUUCGGAACUCGAGUUAAUGAUCAAGAGGGACAGACGGGGGCAUUCGUACUCUGCCGUUAGAGGUGAAAUUCUUGGAUCGGCGGAAGACGCGCAACUGCGAAAGCAUUUGCCAAGAAUGUUUUCU
rnacentral:rRNA from 1 species